UACGUAGGGGGCAAGCGUUGUCCGGAUUUAUUGGGCGUAAAGAGCGUGUAGGCGGUUUGGUAGGUCCGUUGUGAAAACUCGAGGCUCAACCUCGAGACGCCGGCGGAAACCAUCAGGCUAGAGUCCGGAAGAGGAGAGUGGAAUUCCGUGGUGUAGCGGUGAAAUGCGGCAGAUAUCAGGAAGAACACCCGUGGCUAAGGCGGCUCCUCUAGUAACGGUACUGACGCUGAGACG
rnacentral:rRNA from 1 species